UACGAAGGGGGCUAGCGUUGUUCGGAAUCACUGGGCGUAAAGCGCACGCAGGCGGAUUGAUAAGUCAGGGGUGAAAUCCCGGGGCUCAACCUCGGAAUUGCCUUUGAUACUGUCUGUCUUGAGUUCGGGAGAGGUUGGCGGAAUUCCUAGUGUAGAGGUGAAAUUCGUAGAUAUUGGGAAGAACACCAGUGGCGAAGGCGGCUAACUGGUCCAGAUCUGACGCUGAGGUGCGAAAGCGUGGGGAGCAAACAGG
rnacentral:rRNA from 1 species